ACAUUUAAGGACAUACAGAUCUUUACUUAACAUUCAUAAUAGGAGUGAUCCAUAUGGCUUCUUGUUCGCAGUCAACUGUGACUAAAGACUGAUUUACUUACUGACUUGUACUGUUCGCCAUGUAUAAAGCUCAAAAUUGAAAAGUUGGCAGUGUUUCACUGUGAUUACUGUCUCAAGUUUUAUUGUGGGGAAUGUAUUGACCUGCAGUGCCAGUUGGUUGGGAAACGUGUAAAUUACGGAAGGGAAGACACACAUAAGUGACCAGUGUCCAAGAAAAAAGAGGAUUUCCUUCAGCUGUGUUGCAACAAUUACGCUUUCCUCGAUCACAGGUAAAUAACUUCGCACCACUCUAAACAUAAAGUCCAUUGCGAAUAAAAAUCUUAAGAAGAUAGAGGCUCUUGCUGGGGAGGCUAUCCUGAAAAUCUCAACUGAGUCGUCUAACAAGGUUUCCAUUGAUGCUUAUGAGAAAGAAAUGGAAUUGCUGCCUUGCAUUUGAAGACGGGUUUUAAGUUCUCGACAUAUGUGAAGCCAACAGUGCUUAUUUCUUCCGAAGCUCAGAAAGUGACUGGCAUCUCUGUCGAUGCUCAUGGAAACAUGCGUGUAAAUGGUGAAAGUGUUGAUAGUGUCUCAUUUAAAACUUGAUUUUAUGCAGCGGCUUGCCAAGUGUCCUGGAGUCAUUCGUGUUGUACAUAAUUUGUGCAGGUUUGAUUUUCCGGUUUUGGUUAGUGCAUUGCUGAACAUACACUGUUUUGAAAAGUUGUGUAAUUGUGUAAGCAGAUUUGUUGACUCUUUGCCAGUUUUCAAGAAAUUGUAUCCUGAACAGUCACACAAACAGGUGGAUCUAGUGAAACAUGUUCUCCAGGCAAACUACAACGCCCACGAUGGCCCACAGCUUUACUGUGACUGCAAUCCAUAAUUCAGUUUGUUUCAGUCAUGCAAAGGCUAAGAACAUUAGAUCGUUAGACAUGCUGUUGCAUGAAGGAAUUCUAAAGCGACCAACAUUGUGGGAUCUGGACUGGCCUUGUGUCAUUUGAAAGCCAUAUUUUCUUAGGGAUACUUUCAUCGCUUAAAACAAUUAGGGACUACCAUGAGUCACAAACGCAAAAAAUAUUUUAUCUGCAGUGGUCCCUAAAAUAGGUCAGUUUUUCAGUGACGAAAAGUGACGGAACGAGAAAAUAUUGCUUCCAAAUGACACACGGCCAGUCAAAAUCACGCAAUGACUUUAUACUGAUGCCUAAUAAUGUAACAUCUAGUUGUCAUUAAUCUGGCUGGUUUUUAUUUAAAUAUAAGUUGAAUAUUAUUGUGCUAAAUGUCUUAGUGCUAGGUAAUAUUGGGAAAACUUUGACAUUCUGUGGUGAACUGCGGCUGUAUUCAUAUGUUGCUUUUUGACUUUAGGUGAACUUAAAAUUGUAUUAUUAAUGUAAUAUUAUAUCAAUGUUGAGCCAAAGUUACCUAAAUUUCUUCAUAUGUCAGGGUUUAUAACUGUAGCUUUUAAUAAGCAACUAGAAAACCCAUAAAUAGAAGUGAUAUACAAAUUUAUACUGAAAUUAAUUGCGUUAUAAUGCAUGGGUGUAGGCAUACUCAAUGUGUAAUUUCUUGAGAUAGGAACGGUAAAACUUGUAUGUACACUACCGUAAUAACUCUAUGUAUUCGGACACUCUAAGUUUUCGGACACCCCUUUUUUUAGCAAAAAUAAUUAUUUUUCGUGACUCUUAAUUUUCGGACACACGAGUUUUCGUCCAUAAUUAAUGUCUCUAAGUUUUCGGACAGCAUAUUUUACAGCGCUAUUUUGCCAAAUUUCGGUCCUGUUUCGAUAUCUCAUGACAUCGAUCAUGGGGUUUUACAACCAGAUUAACAUCAUAAAACACAGCAGGUGCAUGCUGAGGGCAACGGACCAUUACAUUUGCAUUUUGGGUGGAUAACCUUGUAAACCGGUAUUAAACAAUGGUUUCGCCCGAUUGCAUUUGAAUUGAUGCCGUUUUAAGGAAGCAGUAUGUUUAAUAUUAUAUAUCUUUGUUCCAUAUAAUUUCAGGUAGCAAAGCUGUGUGGUUGUAUUUAUUAAAAAGCAGAGAACGAAGAGUACAACAUAAUAAAUUAUUGCACAUGGAUUUAUUGCUUUUAUUUCAAUUUACCGGUAAUAUAAGACCAACAAACACAACACACCCGGUUCAUACCGGUAUUGACAUUCAUUUUCAUUCAUGUUGGGCAUAAUUAUUGAUGAAUGACAUUUAUAGAUAAAUAAAUUCCUUAUGAACAUUACAACUUCUGAAAAAAGGUUGUAUUGAAAUAAAAACGCAUGUUACGAUUACCGGAACAUGUAAGAACAAUUCUUUUGAAGGAUUGAAUCAGUCUUUUCCUAAACUCAGAGCCCCGUUUCUUUUACAUUUUCACAAACUUAUCCAUAAUUAAAAGUGAACAAUUAUUUUGCUAAAAUAACAUUCGAAGUCUCAGGGUAAUUUGAAUGAUGGAAUUUAUCAAACAUAUUAAAGCUAAUAUACCGAUAAUGCAGAUUGAACGUCGAUUGGAUCGUUAUAAUUCACCAAUCAGAUUAAAGAAAUCAGUAAUUAAACGUUAAAAGCCAUAGUGGAACAACGGAAUAAUGUCAAUUAGUGCCAAUUAUGAUAAUCUUAAACAACUUUCUUUUGAAAAUAAGCGUUAUGACAAUUACCAGGCGUAGUGCCAAUUAACAGUUCAAUUAUCUACCGCAAUGGUACUACCCCUUCUCAGUAAAAUAACUGUGAUAAAUAUACUUAACGCUUCAAAGUGUGAUGCACCCUAUUACAAGUUUUACGAACAAUGGAAGGUGUUAGACAACAACUAUCGGAAAUGAACAAACAAAGAAUUCAUAUUUUCCUUUUUUUAUUACGUAAAUUACAAGUUCAUACUAGCGAGUAUCGGUACAUCAUAUGCGCAUCUUUGAACUCGUUGGUCAAAGUACAACCUUGUAGUAACUUUCUGUAAAAUAAAUUAAGCAUUUAAAAUAAUUUAAAAUGCAGUGCAAACAUAUAUGAAUGUAAUUUAUACUAUACGGCACGUUUUUUUUUUACAAGCACGUGAUAAUGUCGGUAGUCGUCAAUACAAUUGACGCUAUUUUCGGACACUUUAAUUUUCGACUCUAAGUUUUCGGACACCGGUAUUUUGUGAAUAUUUUUCGUAUCUAAGUUUUCGGACACGAAAAAAAAUAAUUAUUUUUAUGUGUCCGAAAACAUAGAGUAAUU